rnacentral:rRNA from 1 species
GACGAACGCUGGCGGCGUGCUUAACACAUGCAAGUCGAACGGAAAGGCCCCUUUGGGGUUACUCGAGUGGCGAACGGGUGAAUAACACGUGAGUAACCUGCCCUUCACUUCGAGCUAACUUCAGGCAACUGGGUAGAAUACCGGAUAGGAAACCUUUCUGUAAUGAGGGGGUUGGAAAGCAUCGGCGGUUCGGGAUGGACUUGCGGCUUAUCGGCUUGUUUGUGGGGUAGUGGCUUACCAAAGAUGUGACGGGUAGCCGGCCUGAGGGGGCGACCUGACACAUUGGGACGGAGAUACGGCCCAGACUCCUACGCGACGCAGCAGUGGGGAAGAGUGUACUAUGGGCGGAAGCCAGAUGCAACACAGCCACGUGCCGGGUGACAGCCUGCGGGUUGUAAACCAAUUUCAUCAGGGGCGAAGCUUGUGGUGACGGUACCUGAAGAAGAAGCACCGGCUAACUACGUG